GACGAACGCUGGCGGCGUGCCUAAUACAUGCAAGUCGAGCGCAGGAAACUGACGGAACUCUUAGGAGGGAAGGCAGCGGAAUGAGCGGCGGACGGGUGAGUAACACGUAAGGAACCUGCCUCAAGGAUUGGGAUAACUCCGAGAAAUCGGAGCUAAUACCGGAUAGUUCAACGGACCGCAUGGUCCGCUGAUGAAAGGCGCUUCGGCGUCACCUUGAGAUGGCCUUGCGGUGCAUUAGCUAGUUGGUGGGGUAACGGCUCACCAAGGCGACGCGGCAUGGCCGACCUGGGAGGGUGGUCGGCCACACGGGGACGACGACACGCCCCAGACACCUAGGGGGGGAAGAGGUAGGGAUUCUUCCACAAGGACGGAAGGUCUAAGGGAGCAACGCCGCGUGAGUAAUGAGGUUUUUCGAAUGGUAAACCUCUGUGGUAAGGGAAGAACACGUAGAGGGGGAAUGCUCGUACCUUGACGGUACCUUACGAGAAAGCCACGGCUAACUACGUGCCAGCAGCCGCCGUAAUAC
rnacentral:rRNA from 1 species